GUGAGGAAUAACCGUCCCUUAUAUAGGAAACUAUCCUCGCCUAGGACGUGUCACUCUCUGACUGGUCGCUUCCAAUUAUGCCAGAUGACGUACUAAAGCGUACGUGUCCCUUUGAGUAGGGAAGUUACCAGGCGCCUGCGUAUUGCCCUUUUUACUGGGUGCGUUCUGCCGGAUGCCAGUGACAUCUUGUAAUGGAGUAUGUGAGGACAGUUCCUCACAUCUGUGAGGACAGCUCCUCGGACAGCUCCUCACAUCCAUCCAUUUACUCUGAGGUGCCAUGAGACAAAAUAUCACUCUGUAGCACAGAAUGACUUCAACCAUAUGAUGGAGCUAUCAUAUGCAGCUGGCCUUGAUGAAUACCAUCGUGUCUAUGGGGUUUCAACUCAUCAUCAAAUAAUCAAAGAGAGAUAGAGAGUGAAUCAAGACAUGUAUAGAUUAUGGAAGAUCAUUUGACUUUCUUGAACUAGUCCAACAAAUAUUAAUAAACUCUAAAAUUAUUUUAAAUCAAAUAAAA